rnacentral:rRNA from 1 species
AUGGCGCGGCGAUCCGCCCCGCUCCUCCGCCGCCUGGUCUCCUCCGCGCCGCCCCUCCCGGGCCACGGCGGCGGCGCGCGCCGCACGGUGACCUACAUGCCCCGCCCGGGCGACGGCACCCCGCGUCCCGUCACGCUCAUCCCGGGCGACGGCAUCGGGCCCCUCGUCACCGGCGCCGUCGAGCAGGUCAUGGAGGCGAUGCACGCGCCCGUCUACUUCGAGUCCUACGACGUCCACGGCGACAUGCCCGCCGUGCCCCCCGCCGUCAUCGAGUCCAUCCGCCGCAACAAGGUCUGCCUCAAGGGCGGCCUCGCCACCCCCGUCGGCGGGGGCGUCUCCUCCCUCAACAUGCAGCUCCGCAAGGAGCUCGACCUCUUCGCCUCCCUCGUCAACUGCGCCAACGUCCCCGGCCUGCCCACCAGGCACCAGAACGUCGACAUCGUCGUCAUCAGGGAGAACACCGAGGGCGAGUACUCGGGCCUCGAGCACGAGGUCGUCCCGGGGGUCGUCGAGAGCCUCAAGGUCAUCACGAAGUUUUGCUCUGAGAGGAUUGCCAAAUAUGCCUUCGAGUAUGCUUACCUUAACUACCGGAAGAAAGUCACGGCAGUGCAUAAAGCAAACAUCAUGAAACUUGCUGAUGGUUUGUUCUUGGAGUCUUGCCGUGAGAUUGCCGCUAAAUAUCCAAGUAUUGAGUAUAACGAAAUUAUUGUUGACAACUGCUGCAUGCAACUUGUUUCAAGGCCUGAGCAAUUUGAUGUUAUGGUUACGCCUAACCUUUACGGCAAUUUGGUUGCCAACACAGCUGCAGGUCUUGUUGGAGGAACAGGUGUCAUGCCAGGAGGUAAUGUGGGUCAGGAUCAUGCCAUCUUCGAGCAAGGUGCUUCUGCAGGAAAUGUGGGAAAUGACAAUCUUGUAGAGCAGCAGAAAGCAAACCCUGUCGCCCUGCUCCUGUCGUCCGCUAUGAUGUUGAGGCAUUUGCAGUUCCCGUCGUUCGCUGACCGUCUGGAAACUGCGGUGAAGCGGGUCAUUGCAGAGGGCAAGUACAGGACAAAGGAUCUGGGCGGCACCAGCACCACCCAGGAAGUUACUGAUGCAGUGAUCGCUAAUCUGGAUUAG